AAAUACGGGUAUGCCACCUUGAAUGUGUCUGAUCCCAUCUGAUCUCGGAAGCUAAGCAGGGUCGGGCCAGGUUAGUACUUGGAUGGGAGACCACUUAGGACCUACAGACCAGGUUCUGUAGACA
ensembl:rRNA 5S_rRNA 5S ribosomal RNA